GGACCAAAGUUCAGCAGUAGAGCAUCUGCUUUGCAUGCUGAAGGUCCCAGAUUCAAUCCCUGGCAUCUCCA